rnacentral:lncRNA from 1 species
GUCUUUGUAUUUGUAGGACUUUCGAAAGAAUAAAAUUUUACCACGCAACAAUGAAAAUAUUUUAUGUAUGUUUUCUAUAAAUACUUGCCUCUUUCUGUCUCUUUGUAUUCAUCCAAAGUCUAGACAUGGCAUUGGCAUCUAUACAUUCACUACUCUUAUUCCUACUUGGAGUGAUGUUGCUCACAAGUUCAUUGUUAGCUGCAACAACACUUCAAGAGAAUCCACCAAACGAUUAUAAGUAUCCAAAAAGAUUGCCAGCUCCCCAAAGGCCCAAAAUAAUUGUGCCAUAUCCCCGUGAACCUCCUAUAAACGAUCCUCUCAUAUAUAGUAUGAUUUUAUUUUUCUUACUCUAUUUUUAUUAUUCUACCUUUCUUUUAUGUCUUUUUUCUUUCAAAUGGGUUAUAUGCAAANNNNNNNNUUUUUUUUUGUGUAAUUAUCUUUCUUCUUUUAUAAUUUAGAUUACAUAAAAACAAUGACUUGAUACCCUACUUUCU